AGUCCGUGAGUUGGGCAUUGAAGUAGAACCUUCUUGAACCUCAGCCAUGUUUCAUGGAUAGGUUCACCUUCCAAUUGCUUGAAACCAUGAAUGUUGUCUCUGAGUUU